GUGCCAGCCGCCGCGGUAAUACGUAGGGGGCAAGCGUUGUCCGGAAUCAUUGGGCGUAAAGAGCGCGUAGGCGGCCCUGUAAGUCCGCUGUGAAAGUCAAGGGCUCAACCCUUGGAUGCCGGUGGAUACUGCAGGGCUAGAGUCCGGAAGAGGCGAGUGGAAUUCCUGGUGUAGCGGUGAAAUGCGCAGAUAUCAGGAGGAACACCGAUGGCGAAGGCAGCUCGCUGGGACGGUACUGACGCUGAGGCGCGAAAGCGUGGGGAGCAAACAGGAUUAGAUACCCCCGUAGUCC
rnacentral:rRNA from 1 species